UACGAAGGGGGCUAGCGUUGCUCGGAAUCACUGGGCGUAAAGCGCACGUAGGCGGCUUUCUAAGUCAGGGGUGAAAUCCUGGAGCUCAACUCCAGAACUGCCUUUGAUACUGGAGAGCUUGAGUCCGGAAGAGGUGAGUGGAACUCCGAGUGUAGAGGUGAAAUUCGUAGAUAUUCGGAAGAACACCAGUGGCGAAGGCGGCUCACUGGUCCGGUACUGACGCUGAUGUGCGAAAGCUAGGGGAGCAAACGGGG
rnacentral:rRNA from 1 species